CCGGCCGCAUGGAAGUGAUGUUGCCCGUCUCAGUCAACGAGACAGAGCCGGUUCCCUCCACCUCGGCCGGUCUUCGUGGAACCGAGGAGUCGGGAAGCAGAAGCUGCUCUCUCCUGUGAACGUCUGAGUCUCUCCGGUGGCACCGCCUUCCACCUGUUCCUCCCUUGGCUCAUCAUCCUCACCAGCAUCAUCCAGAGGCUCAAGAGUGUUGUACACAGAGCCAUGUUAUGGAGGACGGCAGAGGC